AAUUCCAUUAAAUAUAUAGAACAAAUAAAUGUUCGAUUUAGAUUUGAAAUACUUUACUGAUUCAAUCAUUUCAAGGUCUGGCUAGCAAUGGUAAUGUAUUGUAAGCAUCGUGCGUAGUGUCUUUAUUUUGUUAUCAUUCUGAAGAUCCGUAAUUUAUAUUCAAGGGAAGUAAUCACACUGAAAAUUUGGACGGUAAGCGGUGGUUAAAUUUCUUCAAAGGCUGAUUUGCUUGCUUCACCAUAUUUUAUCAAUACUUUUCUAUUUUCUAUAAGAUAGAUAAAUGAUAUGUUGUUCUAGAUGUAGCCUUGAAUUACUGUACUCUGAUUCGUCAAACACUUAGACAUUUUUAGAGGACUCAGUAUUUUUUGCUGCUGAACGCCUACUUUUAAAGUGUUUGAAGAACAGAAAUACCUUAAUUAGGUGAAACAAGCAUUUCUUGAUAUUUAAGUCAAAGAGUUUGAAAAAGCCGUUCCAAAUGUCACUUCGUGAUUAUUUUCCUGGAUACUUUUUUCCCAUGUAAACCAUUCAUUUCUUUAUUUUCAACAUCUUACAAACGGUAAUUCAAGUUUGUUAAGGUUAAAACAGUGGAGGUUUCAUUAAAGUAGGGGAACUGUCGCAUUUCAUUACAAAACGCAUGUAACUGUAAAGAGGUGCUAUUAUUUUGUAGGAGAAAUAUGUUGAAAAAAUCAUUGAAAGAUGAAAGAAAUAAAUUUUCCUGACUUUAAAGUUUUUAAAACUAAUCUCGUCUAAAUGACAUUUUCCCAGCAAACAAAAAAAAAUCCUCUUUUGGGGUAAAAAUGUCUACAAAACAAGAGAGGAAACAUGUACUUGUUUAAAGUAGUAUGGGAGUUUUCCGCGAUCCUGGAUCGCACACCACCGCAUAAGAUUGAUCCAGA
rnacentral:lncRNA from 1 species